rnacentral:sRNA from 12 species
UCCCGCCGAAAGGCAGGGGCUACAUGCUCUUUUACUACGGCGUUCUCUCUAGAAGAAUGUCAUAAAAUACAACUCUGACUAGAUACGUAAGUACUGAAGGGGUGGUGAGCAAAGGCGUUGGUGCAAACUGACGUAACAGUAAGAGAGCUAUUCGGG